rnacentral:tRNA from 1 species
AUUCUUUUAGUAUAAAAAGUAUAAUUGACUUCCAAUCAAAAGGUUAUUUAAUAAAAGAAUA